rnacentral:misc_RNA from 1 species
GAUGAAGAACGCAGCGAAAUGCGAUACGUAAUGUGAAUUGCAAAUUCAGUGAAUCAUCGAGUCUUUGAACGCACAUUGCGCCCCCUGGUAUUCCGGGGGGCAUGCCUGUCCGAGCGUCAUUGCUGCCCUCAAGCACGGCUUGUGUGUUGGGCCCCGUCCUCCGAUCCCGGGGGACGGGCCCGAAAGGCAGCGGCGGCACCGCGUCCGGUCCUCGAGCGUAUGGGGCUUUGUCACCCGCUCUGUAGGCCCGGCCGGCGCUUGCCGAUCAACCCAAAUUUUUAUCCAGGUUGACCUCGGAUCAGGUAGGGAUUCCCGCUGAACUUAAGCAUAUCAAUAAGCGGAGGA